AUGGCUGCAGGUUUGCUGCUUGAAAGAUCAUGAGAGUAUCGACAGCUGUCUCCUUCUUUGCAAAGACCAUGCAUGAAAUACCUGCAAAUUCAAACGUGAAAAAGACAAGUACAAGAAUUAGAAAAGAAUAAGAUACCCAAGAAGAUGUGUUUGACAAAAGAGCAAAGAAUUGAAAUUGCACUGAUGGCUGGACUGGGAAGCAGUCGCAUGGUUGCACGAAACUUUAACAGAAAAUGUGGAAAGCGCAUCACACACGACACUGUGGCAAAACUUAUUUGCAAGUUUCAGAAAACUGGAAAUGUUGCAGAUCAACCACAAAGAGGUCCAAGGCGUGCAGCGAUUAGAGUUCCACAAAAAUAAAAGCGGUUGUCCAAUAUAAAAUGUUUAUUUUUUUUCUAUGUAUAGAAACUUUUGGACCACCUUGUAUAUUAUAUCCAAAUAUUAUUUUGAUAACCUUAGACCAAGUAUUCCAGAAUUUAGAAAAACAAUAUUCCUGGAUUACUUGUGAAAAAACAAUAAUGAACACCUGCAGAAAAAGAAGAAUGGUUAAAAAUUGAUGAUGACACGUGAACUUUUAAACCCACAGUAUUUAUUUGGAUUCUAAAAACUAGACUGACAUGAUUGACAUCCCGGCUCAGAAGGUCAUUUCUAAACAAAAAAAUGAACCAUAUAAAUAAAGGAUUCUGUCAGACUGUGGUUAGUUGAGCUGUCUGAGGAGUAAACUAGAGGGAAAUUGACUUGGGGUUGACUGAAGCUAAUAUGGCUCUACGACAGAGUAAUACACAGAGUAUUGGGUUCUGUUCUGCUGUCAUUUUGCACCAGCUGCAACAAAGAGCAAAGUGAUCUCACCUGAAACUGAGUCAACACCUGCUGGACUGUUUCAGUUUGGAUCAGCAGGAAGCUACGAAGCUGAAACCAAUCAACGGAUCCGAAAUUUUACAGAGGACUUUCUACUUCUCUGAUUAGAACAAACAUUGUUUUAGUGCAGUGAAGUAACUACUGAUUCUGUCAGAAAAUUUAAUACCAGAAACAAGAGCUAGAUGUUUUUCAGGUCAAAGUUGAUGCCACAGGUCAGCAGAACAGAACCUAGCACUAGGAAGGAUUUGAUGUCUGACUUUUUUUUUUAUGUUCUCCAUGACGACGACCCUGUGAGUGAGGGAAUGAGCGAGACCGUAUAAUCUAAGAAAACCCAGAGACUCCUACUGACACACCACUUCCACUCUUGAUGAACAAUUUGUAUAAAGUAAUAAUGACUGUGUAAACAAAAAAGCAAUAAAAUUUACUUGCACAUUAAAAAAAAGUAUUAGUCACAUUAAUACAGAAAUAAAUGGCACAUUGAAUUCCUAAUUUUAAAAGAAAGUGGUGCUUUUCUUUACUGAGGAGACAUGUUAAAUAAAUUACUACCAUAAAUGUUACAUACAAAUCUGGAGUAGUAUAUACAAAUGAGUUGUUAGACACAAAUAAACUACAGUUUGUAAUUUUAUGUUCAGACAGCAGUAGAAGUGUAUGAUACAAUGUAGGGGGUUGUGUUGAACAAAUGUGGGCCGGAGUGUGUGGGUUGGUGGCUGGCUGUGGGUGGAGGAGGGGCCGUCUUUCCAAACCAUCAACCUUCCAGGAAACAGAAUUGCCUGCUGUGGACUGGCUCUGGCACGGUCACGUCCAACAUGAUGGAAUCCUUGGGAGCAAAGGAACACUGGUUCACUUUCACUUUGUUAAAGGAAAAUUAUGCCAUCUUUCUCCAUCCCAGCUCAACCUCUUAGUGGAGUUCUGAUUGUUCAGUUUUGUGUUUUAACACGGCAAGAGAAGCAGAGAAUGACUGUCACUCUGAUGGGAAGGAUUGGGAAGUGUAAGUCAGACUGGGUCCAAAGUGCAAAGAAACAAUACUACUGUGGUAAAAAAAUUUUAUAAAAUGACAUAAUUUUCCUUUUACAACUUGUUUCAAACAAUUUGUGUCCAUCCCUAAAUCUAUCUCUGACACAUCCCAUAAUAUCACAGUAUCCCUCCAUGUCCCGUCUCCCUGACCUCCUGUAGAUUGUUCUGAAGACAUAAUAGAAAUCCCUGCUUUUUCCUUCAACAUCCCUUAAAAAUCUCCAUGGUAACAGUGGUUGGAUAGAAGCAUGGGGGCUGUGAGCUGAGUGGAGCUGAGUAAAGAAACCGUUGUCUACUUUGUAAACAUGUAUGGGAUUCUGAAUCUCCAGAUGGCUCUUCUGGCUUGGUCUUUACAACUGGAUCAUGGCUUUCACAAGAUGUCUCCUCCUGUGGAGAACAGGUGGCCACAACCAAAGUUUUCUCAUUCUGAUACAAACUUCUGAUUCCUAAAAAAAAAAGAAAAAAAACCUCCAAAAGAAAAACAAAUCCUUCAUGAACCGUUACAGAGCUCUCCUGCUCUACUGUCUCUAUAGCAACAUGCUCGCCAAAACAUAGCGUCAGCAGGCUGCGUGAGGCAGUGAGAGCAGAGCUUUAUGAGGACUGGGCGCUCCUCAGGGCAGGUUUGGUCCAUCAACCCAGAAGUUAGUCCUUGAGAUUCUAGUCUGGGCAGUCUAAUGAGUUCAUUGUGCAGCUUGGCUGCCUCCAGCUCCUCCGUCAUUCCUCCUUAAAGUGUGAGUGGGGUUUGGACAGAAGGAGCAGGUGUUGGUUUACAGGAGGAGGGUCUGGAAGGAUGGUGAUGC